UGAGGAAUAUUGGUCAAUGGGCGCAAGCCUGAACCAGCCAUCCCGCGUGCAGGAAGACGGCCCUAUGGGUUGUAAACUGCUUUUCCAGGGGGAGAAACUUCCGUACGUGUACGGAAUUGACGGUACCCUGGGAAUAAGCAUCGGCUAACUCCGUGCCAGCAGCCGCGGUAAUACGGAGGAUGCAAGCGUUAUCCGGAUUCAUUGGGUUUAAAGGGUGCGUAGGCGGACUAUUAAGUCAGUGGUGAAAUCCUGCAGCUUAACUGCAGAACUGCCAUUGAUACUGAUAGUCUUGAGUUUGGUUAAGGUAGGCGGAAUGUGUAAUGUAGCGGUGAAAUGCUUAGAUAUUACACAGAACACCAAUUGCGUAGGCAGCUUACUGAGCCGACACUGACGCUGAGGCACGAAAGCGUGGGGAUCGAACAG
rnacentral:rRNA from 1 species